rnacentral:rRNA from 1 species
UGGGGAAUAUUGCGCAAUGGGCGAAAGCCUGACGGAGCAACGCCGCGUGAGUGAAGACGGCCUUCGGGUUGUAAAGCUCUGUUAUACGGGACGAAUAAUCUUGUGGUUAAUACCCAUAAGAAGUGACGGUACCGUAAGAGAAAGCCACGGCUAACUACGUGCCAGCAGCCGCGGUAAUACGUAGGUGGCAAGCGUUGUCCGGAAUUAUUGGGCGUAAAGGGCGCGCAGGCGGCUUCUUAAGUCUGUCUUAAAAGUGCGGGGCUUAACCCCGUGAUGGGAUGGAAACUGGGAAGCUCAGAGUAUCGGAGAGGAAAGCGGAAUUCCUAGUGUAGCGGUGAAAUGCGUAGAUAUUAGGAGGAACACCAGUGGCGAAAGCGGCUUUCUGGACGAAAACUGACGCUGAGGCGCGAAAGCCAGGGGAGCGAACGGGAUUAGAUACCCCGGUAGUCCUGGCCGUAAACGAUGGGUACUAGGUGUAGGAGGUAUCGACCCCUUCUGUGCCGGAGUUAACGCAAUAAGUACCCCGCCUGGGGAGUACGGCCGCAAGGUUG